GCCGCCCCUACACUCUAACCACUAGGCUACCCUGCCGCCUCCACACUCUAACCACUAGGCUACCCUGCCGCCCCUACACUCUAACCACAAGCCUACCCUGCCGCCCCUACACUCUAACCACUAGGCUACCCUGCCGCCCCUACACUCUAACCACUAGGCUACCCUGCCGCCCCUACACUCUAACCACUAGGCUACCCUGCCACCUCUACACUCUAACCACUAGGCUACCCUGCCAACCCUACACUCUAACCACUAGGCUACCCUGCCACCUCUACACUCUAACCACUAGGCUACCCUGCCACCCCUACACUCUAACCACUAGGCUACCUGCCGCCUCUACACUCUAACCACUAGGCUACCUGCCGCCUCUACACUCUAACCACUAGGCUACGCUGCCGCCUCUACACUCUAACCACUAGGCUACCUGCCGCCUCUACGCUCUAACCACUAGGCUACCCUGCCGCCCCUACACUCUAACCACUAGGCUACCUGCCGCCUCUACACUCUAACCACUAGGCUACCCUGCCGCCCCUACACUCUAACCACUAGGCUACCCUGCCGCCUCUACACUCUAACCACUAGGCUACCUGCCACCUCUACACUCUAACCACUAGGUUACCUGCCUCCUCUAC
ensembl:lncRNA